GAUGAACGCUGGCGGCGUGCCUAAUACAUGCAAGUCGAGCGAACAGACGAGGAGCUUGCUCCUCUGACGUUAGCGGCGGACGGGUGAAUAACACGUGGAUAACCUACCUAUAAGACUGGGAUAACUUCGGGAAACCGGAGCUAAUACCGGAUAAUAUAUUGAACCGCAUGGUUCAAUAGUGAAAGACGGUUUUGCUGUCACUUAUAGAUGGAUCCGCGCCGCAUUAGCUAGUUGGUAAGGUAACGGCUUACCAAGGCAACGAUGCGUAGCCGACCUGAGAGGGUGAUCGGCCACACUGGAACUGAGACACGGUCCAGACUCCUACGGGAGGCAGCAGUAGGGAAUCUUCCGCAAAGGGCGAAAGCCUGACGGAGCAACGCCGCGUGAGUGAUGAAGGUCUUCGGAUCGUAAAACUCUGUUAUUAGGGAAGAACAAAUGUGUAAGUAACUAUGCACGUCUUGACGGUACCUAAUCAGAAAGCCACGGCUAACUACGUG
rnacentral:rRNA from 1 species